rnacentral:rRNA from 1 species
UACGAGUGGUGCAAGCGUUAUUCGGAAUCAUUGGGUGUAAAGGGUGUGUAGGCGGCACGUUAAGUCUGUUGUUAAAGACUCCGGCCUAACCGGAGACAGGCAGCGGAAACUGGCGUACUAGAGGGUGGAAGAGAGAAGUGGAAUUCUCGGUGUAGCGGUAAAAUGCGUAGAUAUCGAGAGGAACACCGAUGGCGAAGGCAGCUUCUUGGUCCAUACCUGACGCUGAAACACGAAAGCGUGGGGAGCAAACAGG